UACGGAGGGUGCAAGCGUUGUCCGGAUUUAUUGGGUUUAAAGGGUGCGUAGGCGGGCAGAUAAGUCAGAGGUGAAAUCCCACGGCUCAACCGUGGAACUGCCUUUGAUACUGUUUGUCUAGAGUGUCGUAAAGGUAAGCGGAAUUUAUGGUGUAGCGGUGAAAUGCAUAGAUACCAUAAAGAACACCGAUAGCGUAGGCAGCUUACUAGGCGACAACUGACGCUGAUGCACGAAAGCAUGGGGAGCGAACAGG
rnacentral:misc_RNA from 1 species